rnacentral:rRNA from 1 species
CCCCACUGCUAUCGGGAUGGGACUAAGACAUGCUAGUCGAGCGUCUCCAAGCUAUGGAAGAGACGCGGCACACAGCUCAGUAACACGUGGCUAACCUGCCCUUGGGACAAGGACAACUCCGGGAAACUGGGGCUAAUCCCUGAUAAGUGAGAACUCCUGGAAUGGAUUCUCGCUCAAAGGACGUUUAGACCAUGCUUCUAGGCGUCGCCCAAGGAGGGGGCCGCGACCGAUCAGGUUGUUGGUGAGGUAACGGCUCACCAAGCCUUUAACCGGUACGGGCCGUGAGAGCGGAAGCCCGGAGAUGGGCACUGAGACAAGGGCCCAGGCCCUACGGGGCGCAGCAGUCGCGAAAACUCCGCAAUACACGAAAGUGUGACGGGGCCAUCCCGAGUGCCAUCCGCUGAGGAUGGCUUUUCCCCAGUGUAUAAAGCUGGGGGAAUAAGGAGAGGGCAAGCCUGGUGUCAGCCGCCGCGGUAAUACCAGCUCUCCGAGUGGUGGGGAUGUUUAUUGGGCCUAAAGCAUUCGUAGCCUGCUUGGCAAGUCCUCCGUUAAAUCCAACGAUUCAAUCGUUGGGCUGCGGGGGAUACUGUCCGGCUAGGGGGCGGGAGAGGCCGACGGUAUCCUCGGGGUAGGGGUGAAAUCCUAUAAUCCCGGGAGGACCACCAGUGGCGAAGGCUGUCGGCUAGAACGCGCUCGACGGUGAGGGAUGAAAGCUGGGGGAGCGAACCGGAUUAGAUACCCGGGUAGUCCCAGCUGUAAACGAUGCAGGCUAGGUGUUGGCGCGGCUACGUGCCGCUCCAGUGCCGCAUGGAAGCAAUUAAGCCCGCCGCCUGGGAAGUACGGCCGCAAGGCUGAAACUUAAAGGAAUUGGCGGGGGAGCACCACAAGGUGUGAAGCUUGCGGUUU